rnacentral:rRNA from 1 species
GACGAACGCUGGCGGCGUGCUUAACACAUGCAAGUCGAACGAAGUGGCGAACGGGUGAGUAACGCGUAAUCCACCUGCCCUUCAGAGGGGGAUAACAGUUGGAAACGACUGCUAAUACCGCAUACUGAAGGAGGGGAUUCCGUCUGAUUAGCUAGUUGGAGGGGGAACGGCCCACCAAGGCGAUGAUCAGUAGCCGGUCUGAGAGGGUGCACGGCCCAAUCGGGACUGAGAAACGGCCCCGACUCCUACGGGAGGCAGCAGUGGGGAAUCUUCCGCAAUGGACGAAAGGCUGACGGAGCAACGCCGCGUGAGUGAUGGCGGCCUUCGGGUUGUAAAGCUCUGUUUAUCGGGACGCGGUACCGGAAUAGAAAGCCACGGCUAACUACGUGCCAGCAGCCGCGGUAAUAC